UACGAAGGGGGCUAGCGUUGUUCGGAAUUACUGGGCGUAAAGCGCACGUAGGCGGAUUGGUCAGUUAGGGGUGAAAUCCCAGGGCUCAACCCUGGAACUGCCUUUAAUACUGCCGGUCUUGAGUUCGAGAGAGGUGAGUGGAAUUCCGAGUGUAGAGGUGAAAUUCGUAGAUAUUCGGAGGAACACCAGUGGCGAAGGCGGCUCACUGGCUCGAUACUGACGCUGAGGUGCGAAAGCGUGGGGAGCAAACAGG
rnacentral:rRNA from 1 species